CCCCAUGAAAGGCGUUGGUUGAUAUAGACAGCAGGACGGUGGCCAUGGAAGUUGGAAACCGCUAAGGAGUGUGUAACAACUCACCUGCCAAAUCAACUAGCCCUGAAAAUGGAUGGCGCUUGAGCGGGAGACUUAUACUCAACCGUUGCAUGGCUUGC
rnacentral:rRNA from 1 species